rnacentral:lncRNA from 1 species
AAUCAAAGGUUGUAAUCUUGCUACCGUGUGCGACGUGGAGGGAACCGUAAGGGGUGGUAGAGACGGUGGAAGGAGAGUCUCUUCCGUUUAAGGGUAAUUGAAGUGAGUUUUGAAGAUUGAAAGGUUCAAAUUGAGAAGGGUUAGAGAGAGAAUUGAUUAAGAGAUUUUCGAUGCCGUAGAAUUUGGAUUCAAUGAUAAGGUCUUGAAGAUCGAAUGAUUUUGCUUUUGAAGGAAGAUUACCGGUGCGGAGGAGAGAGAGGAGGAGAGAGAAAAUAUCAGGGUCUCUGUCAAUGAAAGGUGUGUAGGGAGAAGAGGUUUGUGAGAUUGUUGAGAAGAAGGUUUUUGGUCCAGCUGAGGUUAGGGUUUGUUUUGUUGUUUGAAAAAUUUGGCCACCAACGUCGAUUGUGACUAUGUUUGUGUCUGAUCUGAAAACACCAACGGGAUGAGAACCUGCAAAGGGUG